AUGGGGCUUCCGUAUUUCAGUCGCUACAUGAUUAGGUACCAACUAAGAAGAUGGUGGCGAUCCGAGCACCUUGGGGAAAAAAAAAAAAAAAAGGAUAGGUGGGCCGGGGGAGGGAAGAUCACUACACCACCACAUUUAGAAAAUACCCACCCAGCUCUGCGGGGAAUGCGAGCGAUUUUGGUGUCAGUGGGACUCACUGCAGCUUGGAAACGCCUUUCGCGGCCGAGCAUAGGCCACCUGUUAGACGGGGACAGCCUGGGAUGCCCCCCACGGCGGGCAGCUCAGGUGCCAGCGAAAGUUUCACAGCUCCGGGCAGACCUCUGCCUUUCCCCCUCCCGGGUUUCUCCGUCCUCUGCCCCCGUCCCGCGGGGUCCGCGAAGGCAAAUUUCUGCCCACGGCUGUGAUUUAGCGACCCCCCCCUCCGGCCGUCCUGUCCUGCAUGCCCCGGGUAGAAAUGCAAGGCAGGAGGCGGCAGGAAAGCUCUCAGGAAACCUCGGAGCUGGGGUGCGCUCCGGUCCCGUCCCCAUCCCCUUAUCGAUCCCCAUCGGCCGUCUGCAAGGGGAAGCCGAGAGCCGGCGGCUGCAGGGGGAGAGAGGGAGGGGGGAAAGGAGGGAGGGAAGGGGGAGAUCCCUGCCUGUUCGGCAGCACCGCCCGUGGCACAGCGAGCGCGGCAGCGGGCAGAGCAGCACGGCGGGCUGCGGGCAGAGGGGUCGCGGCCGCGGGGGGCCGCGGGGGGCCGCGGGGGGCCGCGGGCCGCGCCCGACCCGUGGGGGGGUUGGACGGGGACGAGGGGGGGCCCGUCCCGUCGGGGCAGGGCCCGGGAGGGGCCGGGCUGGCAUCGGCGGCCUCCAAUGGGGGCGAGCGGGGGCCGCCCGCGGGGCUCCGCGCAGCUCGGCGGCGGCUCGGCGGGGAGAAGGCGGCCGGAGGAGAGGACGGGAGCCGGGCGUCCGAGGAGCCGGGUGCGGACGCCCUGUGCGAGCCCAAGGUGAGCGAGGUUCCUCAGGAGCAAAAAACCUAGCAAAUAUGGUGAGAUGGAUCACACCAUCACGGACGGAGUAUUGA
rnacentral:lncRNA from 1 species